GUGUGUGUGUUAAAAGAGCACA
rnacentral:misc_RNA from 1 species